CCAUUUCCCAAAAAAAUCAGACCUAGAGAACAAGAUAAGGGAUCCCCAUUCCCUGACCUAGAAACGACACUCAUAUUCAACAGAGGAGACCUCUCCACUCCAAAAACAAACAAUAACACGUCUCUCUCUCUCUCUUUAACAUCAAAGAACCGAAGACUCCCCCUAUUUUUGUCACACUAGCUGUCACCUCAUCCUAAAAAACAGAAGAGAGACGAUCCCUUUCCAUUUUUUAGCCUAACUAGCGACGCCUCACACACAUAGAGAGAACAGCGAAAAAUGGCCCCUCUCUAUCUUUGCCUACCUCCUUUCGUCACUCUCACAAACAUUGACAAAAUAGCUAGAAAGUAAGUGGGGGAUUCAAUAAUCCGAGAUCUAGAAAAAUCAAAAAAAAGAAAGAAAAAGAAAUGAUGUUCUGGAAAAAUGAAAUAAAGGAAGAACAACAAAGUUUUGGUAUCCUACAUCAAAUUUUGGAUUCAAAUAGUUCCAAAUCGAACUGGAGUUGUUUGAUGCUGAUUUCGAGCUCAUUUUCCUAGGUUUCGAAUUUUUCUUCCUCUGGUUUAGGGCUUGCUUGUUGCUGUUGAUUGCUGAAAUUUCUGCUGAGCUUCGAUCGAGUUUGUCUCGAUUUUUGGUCAGUUUAUUCAAGUUUCCUUGUUCAACCAGGUACUCUUCUAUGAAUUCUGGGUUACAUAUUAGAUGGGAACACACCUCUAGUGAAGAAUUUUUUUUUAUUUAAUUAUGAAAAUUGAUGUUGGAUUUCAAUGUUUGCUUAGCUUCAUAUCUCAUUUUAUGUUUUAAGUUUAGUAUAUUAUAAUUUAAGUCUAUUUGUGAUGUCUCUAUACUUUGAUAUUUUUUUCCGUUCAAUUGGAAAUUCUCGGUGCAAUAUUUCUGUGUGGUUGUUAAUUAGUCUACAAAAAUGAGUACUAUUGAAUGUAUUGGCAUCGUAAAGCUAUUAGGCUAAAAGGAAACAUUUGCUAGCAUUCAAGUUGUUUGGUUUCAAGUUGUUUACUAAAUAGCUGAUACGUGCAAAAAUCAAGUGGAUUAAUAUAGGAGGCACUUUAUAGUUGCUACUGACGAAGAAUGAAUACCAAAGCGGAUUUACUCUAUAUAAAUUAAAAAUGAAGGAAAAGUUGAGAGCAAAAUUAGACAUGUUUUUAAUUGCCAACCUUAUUUCAUGCAUGUCACUGCUGCACUUCCUAUGUGAAGGGUUUUUAAUGUUCAUUAACCUUUGUGAGUAGACUUAUUUGUAUGGCUUUUUUUGGGAGGGUGUUGUCCAUUGGUGACUAUGUCAUCGCUUACUUAUUAAUUUUCCAAAGAAUAUACCAGCAUAUUGCUCUGAGUUUUAAAAGAUAAAAUGUCAAUUUCAAAUUCCUUUUAGAUAUUAGCUUUUCUACAAAUUAUUGGUUUGAUUGUUGAACAUUUGAGAUAGAUGUGUGUUUCCAUUUUUCUGAAAGUGAACUGCUACUGAUAAAACAGCACCCCUUCUUUCAUGCUUAGCUAGCUUUUUAAUGAUUAUUCACUAUCUGCCAUAUUUCUCACACUAUGUACUUCUUCUUUCUUGGUCUAUAUCUUUUCCUUUUCGCAAAUUCAAAUUACCCUCCUACAACAAUAAUUUCCUAUCCAAAACUCAUGGCCUUGCAAUAAUCCGAAACUUAGAAAAAUAAUCAUGAACAUCGUAGCUUGCUUUAGGUGCGAUUAAAUAAAUUAUCGUGGCCAUGGGUACGGUUCCUGUGGCAUGGUCAUGAUACAUAAUCUCCAAUUCGAGUGUACAUUUCAUGUGACCCGAUCAUAACAACUUCGAAUAGUAAUAAAAUAAAUAUGUCACAAAUCGCAGGUGCAUUUCAUGUAGCGCGGUUUGCAAUGUGCUCCGAAAUGGCAAGUGUAUGACGAUCGUAACUUGUUCAAGAAAAUAAUUUCAUAAAUCCUAAAAAGCGGUUUAAAAUAAUUAAAAGCGGUUAUAUAGUUAAAAAUGCACAAUAGGUUCUAAACAUGUAAUAAAUCAGAUAAUUAGGCCAAUUAAUAAUAGUUGAGCGACCGUGGUGAAACCACAGAACUCGGGAAUGCCUAACACCUUCUCCCGGGUUAACAAAAUUCUUUGCCCGGUCUUCUGUUUUCGCGGACAAUAAAUAAGAGUCAAUUUCCUCGAUUUGGGAUUUAAAAUAAAUCGAUAACUUGGGACACCAUUAACUAUUCCAAGUGGCGACUCUGAGAAUAAAUAAAAUAAUCCUAUUUCGAUUAUGUCACUUUAAUUGGAAAAACUCCUCUAUAUCCCCUUUCGGGUAAAAAGGAGGUGUGACAACUUCUCAAAAACUUUCAAAAUUCUAACUUUAACCAAACGACUCCAAAAUGACCUGCAGACCUCCGAAUCCACUUCUGAUCGUCCAAGACCAAUUUUAUCAUACAAACCUGGAACCUUCAAAUCCCGAUUCCGAGGUUGUUUACUCAUAAAUCAAACCUAACUCAAUUCUUUCAACUUAAAGCUUCCGAAAUGGGAAUUUUCUUUCCAAAUUCCAAACUUCCCGAAAUUCAAUUCUAAUCACGCGUACAAGUCAUAAUUCCUAAAGCGAAACUGCUCAUGGCCUCAAACUGCCGAAUGACGUGAUAGAGCUCAAAACGAUCGGUCGGGUCGUUACAUUCUCUCCUACUUAAACAUACGUUCGUCCUCGAACGUGCUGAGACCUGCACUGGAGUUGUCCGAAAUUACUGUUUAACACCUCGUGCACCUACCCAUGCUACCACAACUCAGUUUAGCACAUUAGAUCGAUCAACUUUGAAGAUAUCCUCUUUUAUUUAGGCAAAAGAGCCUUAAAGCCCAGUUUCAACGUCCGAAAUUCUCUGCCAGGCUUGCUUCCAAUAUAUGAACACUGUAUCAAUCACUAUACGAUGUACCAGAACAUGACUGCAUACCUUUGUUGAAUUCUCACCAUGCACCACAUCAUUCACAGGACCAUAAUAACAUUCUCUAAUCAUAAUAACUGACAUUCCCUGAAUCUGAUGCUCACAAUGCACCUCAUGACAUGUAUAAGUCUUGUUCCAACUCUUACAAUACAACCACAAUGGAAGAGACGUGUAGAAAUUCAUAACCGACUGCCGAGUCAACACCUCAUUGAGGCUAUACUCCUGACAAGAACCAUUACCUCAUUCUAAACCACCUAAUGGUAUUUGCUCUUUAAUAUACUUCAUAUAAUCUGAUCACACUAAUCCUAGAUCUAAUAUUCUUGUCUCACUCAGUACGAACUGCUCAGGCAACAAGUCACCCCUGACAUGACCAAAAGUCUCAUAUGAUGCCACAAUAUGCCAAUAGGCUACCAACUUGAACGUGAUACAUAAGGAAAACAAACACUAAACGGGACUACUCAACUCACGCAGCUAAUAUGGACUUUUCUCAUAAAAUGGAAAACAAAACACAUAAAAGUUAGAAUAUAGAAAACUGCACUCAACAUCAUACUGUUGCGGCGUGCAAACCCGAUCCAAACAACAUACCCGUGGUGGCGUGCCACCCGAUCCACACAUAAAACUCAUAUAAGGAGAUACACACCGAGCUAAAUUGCUCAUUACUACUAAAUACCGAAUAUCAGUCAUAAGCACGCUAAGUGCGUAUUACCAUCCCUGGGGAGACAUAUAGUGCCAUAAGCUACAAAAAGCAAGCACAACUGAGGUGCGAUAUAUGAUCUGAAUCUCAAGGGCCAUCAUGCUCACAUAACACCAUCGCUACACGGAACCUCAACAUAUAAGGAAAUUAUCAAGCCGUCUGACAACUCAUACGGUACCAUAUAGUAUUACAUGAAAUAGCCGAUGAUGAAAUAACAUCCAACGUCCGAAUACUCCUCCAUAAGGGGUGUUAUACUGAAAUGAACACAUCUGGCCUGAUAUAGGGCCCAUUUAAAUCUACUCACCGACCUCGAGCCGUUUCUGACCGCACCAUACUAGACUAAUAACCUUUCAAGGGUCCAUAAUAACCCCUUUUUCCUAUGACUCACAAGAACAACCCUCAUAUCCAGAGCAAACCUCUGCAGUCCACAACCCAAUAAACCGAGUGACCUCCUGGCAUAAAUUCUCAAAUUCGUGAUACUACCACAAUCUUCACACUAGGUCUAAAUCUUCAAUCAAUCAAGUGACUACUUGUCACACUUAUACAAUCUUCCCGCGAGGUACGCUACCACGACCUUCCGUACUAGACAACGAGUCUACACAUUCGUACCAUCGGAACAUUAAUGUUGUAAAGCAUAUCAAGAAUCUGUAACCAAGAUGCAAACCCUCCGACACAAAAUUCCGAUCUCAGGUGACGCUGAAGACAAUACUGGCUUACUCCAAACAUCCAAAUCCCUUUCCUGCUCAUCUGAGCUCAUUACAUCCUCGUCAAAAACCAAACCGCAACCUUGAUCCUCACUUUUAAAUUUCAUACCGCUCACUGCAGCUAACAUGCCAAUAUGAGAUAGCGCCAAAAUUUCAUCAUAACUCCUGAACCACUAAUAGGGUAAACACUUCAUCACCUAGAAGCUUUUUACUUAACUCAUUCCAAGAGAACCAUAGCAACACAUGAGUGAAUUCUCAUAACUGUAGAACAUUCAAAUCCUCAAGUAGUGGUCUAAACCACCAUAACCUUUUUGGGAUCCGCCUACACCUAAUAGGCCAUAAUACUUGAAUACUUCCAAAUACAAUCAAUUAUGGUGGCCGUCGAGCCUUGCACGUACCGCCACUAUGCCAAUUCAACCAUGGCUAACCAAUCCAACUUCUUCUAAUCCAUCCUUAACUUGCCUAGAGAUAAUAAUAGCUCUAUUUCCUUACAUCAGCAACCUAAAUCCACACUCACCUUGAGUGACCCCAUUCCAUGAGACCAUAUUGUCUCCAAACCCAUGAACCGUUUCAUACCCUCCUUGCACGCACAUUCACAUCUUCAACUGAUACAACCGUUCGGAUAAUUCCUUUACGAAUCCAAAGUCUUUUUCUUUUUUUCCUCCCAAUGCUACACUGCAAGUCGAAACCAUCAUAGAACAUUCUGAGCCUCUUAUCAUAAUCUGCUACAAAAGCUCGAUUCUUAACCAUACUGCGGGCUUGAAAACUUAGGCGCUGCAUUUGAACCCUUGAAUUCACUAGGACCAUUGUUGAGAGUCACCCACUCUAGCUGGUCCCGAAUAUAAUCAACUCCAAGGCUCCGCUGGCACAUGAACACCCAUCUCAAUGAAGCAUCCAACUGAAUCACUUCCCUAUAAAUUACCUCUGUACGAAGCAUAAAUCCUGAAUCUUCCCAAAGCCUGAACAUGUAAGGCCAACUAUAACAUCCCUUUAUCAAUUUCUUUUCUCAAAUUACCACUUAUGUUCUUUUCCCUUAGCUACAAUAACUCACCAAUAUGCCGAUAACUCGAACCUCACCAGUAGAUAACCAUGCAACCUAAUCGAAGGUAGUGGGACCCUCCCACUUAGCUUGAAACUACUAUUACACAACUUUGGAACCCACAAAGAUUCUUUCUUCAUUGUUGACAUGAUCUUACACAACCAACCCGCCAUUCACGCGAACACUGCACUAGUUUUUAACACUCUGAAUCUCUGAAUCUCUAGCAACAUUCACGCAUUCGACUUCUUACUGGAUAGUCAACAAAAUGCUCUACAGAAGCUUCGCCAACCACGCGACCGCUGACCUGCUCACAGGAGAUAACUCACCUGUGGAAAUUACACGUCGACAUUUUCCAACAUCGCCGCAUGGGGUACAAUCAAUACGACAUCAAUAACCCAUCCUAAGCCCGUGAUCAUUCGCCAACUGUACUAGUCCAUCCUCUUCUUAUGGACAUCAACUAAAUACACGACAAUAUCUUCCAAUUCAAAGUGAUGUUGUAUCCUUCCUCAUAUCAAGCAACUCAUUGUGUUGCAUCCAAUCUCCCACCGUAUAAUAGCCAAUAAUUCAAAUCAAGACCGUAGACCUAAUUAUUGUCCACCAAAAUUCCCAAAUCGCUCCAAACUUUUCCUCAAGGUGUGCAGUUACCCUGCCACUGAACCCAUAUGCUACUCUGCCACUCUCCCACUUUGGGCAAACUCACUUCUUUAAGAAACUACUCGACUUUUGCUUCUUACACCUGGCCUUCUAGAAGUUUAACCUCUGCAUGACACUUCCCAUGUGUUCUUCCUCAUCCUUUGAUGCUCAGCUGAUGCCUUAGGUCAAAAUCUAUCUCAGUAACACUUGAACCAAUAGACCGCUACUAACUUUAAACCUUUUCGAAGAUCAUUUUUUCUCAAGUCGUCGACAUUAGAAAUAUUGAUUCAAUCCUGAACCACCGCGCCCCUCGAGCUUUGACAAAUGCUUCUUCAUUACUAUCUCACAAUAUCCUGCCCCACAGGCGAUUUGUAGAAGAUCAUAACACCGACAAACUUAACAUAUUCAAUCGAGGAGGACGACACCAAGCAUCGGAUGAAAAUUCCACCAUACUUGAAAACACCAAGUCUCGUUACUCCGUCAAUCAAAACCUAAUCAUUCAUAGUCCGAUUGACUUUCCUUCGCUGGAAAUACAAUACCGAAGCUCUGAAUCAUGCACUGAGACAACCUUCUUCCAAGUCAUAUGCUACUUCCAUGAUUGGACAAGCAUCCCACCAUCACAUCAAUACCAUGCAACAACCAUUCAUGAGCAUUAUAGCAACAUGUGCAUAGCCUCAAAGCUCUCAAAAGUACAGCUAUGGAGCUAAAAUGAUAGACUAUCCUUCCACAAGGUGACGACAAUAGACCAAACAACCAUGUAGGGAGAGACAUCACGCACCACAUCUGUAGUACCAUUAAAAUUUCUCAAUUGUUGAUUUUUAAUAAGCGCUUCGCAUCGCAUAAGAUCGAGUAGGAAGGAAACAAAGGCAUAAGCCUCAAAGGAAUCAAAUGACACGAUGAGGAAUCAAAAAGGUAAGUGCUCCUAACAGCCCUGUAGCUUCUCGAAGAUAAGUACAGACGUCUCCGUAUUGAUCCACAAGACUCUACUAGACUUGAUUAUGACUCGUGAGACCUAAGGGAACCUAGUGCUCUGUUACCAAGUUGUCACGACCCAAAAUCCAUUAAGGGUCGUGAUGGCGUCGGACACCACUGUCAGGCAAGCCAACACUAAGAAGGUAAUUAAAUUCUCAUUUUAGUAUUUUUGAAAUUAUUUAUUUUCCUUACACUUCCACAAUAAAUAAUGAAAUUCACUGAAUAAAUAAUGACGUUUUUAACAAAUUUAAAUAUUGAAUAAUCCCAUAGUCAUCCCAGAACCCGGUGUCACAAGUGCAUGAGAAAUUUCUAGGAAAUAAAAUGCAAUACGAUAAGUGUCCGGAAUAUAAUUGGACAGAAAAGAAUUACAAUACUCUGAAAGAGACUCUGCUGGUUGCGAGUCGUCUCGAGAAAUGCAGCUCACCUAAGUCUCUGUGUCAACCAUGCCGCUACGUCCAAUGGGGCCACUAGACGUACAUGUGCCUGUGCAACAAAAAUACACAGCAAGUGUAGUAUGAGUACGAAAACCACGCAUACCUAGUAAGUACCCAGUCUAACCUCGAAGAAGUAGUGAUGAGGGGUCGACUUCAACACUUACUAGUGGUCCAAUAAUAUCAUAAUAUGAAGUUCUAAUUUAACAUGAUAUGUAGAGAUACAACAAAACUCAGAACAAGAAGAGAGCUGAACAAUUCUUUCAUUAUUAUUAAAGAACCCCAAAACACUUCCUUCAUUUUAAACAAUGAUCUCUCAACGAUGAAUUUAUACAAAUUAUAUAAAGGGUUUUCAGUUAUAUCGUCACACAUAAUUUCCACCGAGGACGUUCGGCCCAAUCCAACAUAAAUGUAAAUUGUGCACUGCUGAGGGUCGAACGGCGCGAACCAUAGAUGUAUCUAUUUCCGGGCUCGCGAAUCAUACAUGUGACGCGGUCCCUACUCGCAAGUCAUACAUAUGACGCGGUCAAAUAUAAAUUUAAGAAAUUACCCCGCUCGCGAAUCAUACCUAUGAUGCGGUCAAAUAUAAAUUUAACAUUAAAAUCAUAUCUCUCUUAAUUAUUUUCAAAAUGAUGGAAAUUCAGCUUGUAGUUUUUUAACAAAAUUACCCCGCUCGCGAAACAUACAUGCGACGCAGAUACACAUAGAUUUCUUAAGCUAUUAUAAUAUUCCUCAAUUCUUUCUGAAAUUACGAAGUUCAAAUGAAACCUUUUAAAUCUUAAAUUCUUCAAUUUCACUCCUUUCUAAACUUUUAAUAAGCUAACUCAAUAUCGCUCCCUCUCAAGGCAAGCAAUAAACGUAAAUCAAUAACAAUAUCAACAAGGCAUGGUGUGAGCCUAAAACUACCCGGACAUAGGCAUAGCUAGUAGCUACGUACUGAAUCUCGCCAUCUCGUGCGUACGUAGCUCCCAUAAAUAGGAGCACAUAUUUAAUUAUUUCACCUAUGGGGAUAAUUUCCUCUUACAAGGUUAGCAAGGAGCCUCACCAUGCUCCGCAGUUCCAUAACCAGCAUUCCAUGCCCUUCCGAAGACUCAAAUCGAUGCACGACGCUCCAAAACUAGUCAAUAAUUAUGUAAACCCAUUAAUAUAUGUUCAAUUACUCAUAAUAAUCUAAUUUAUAACAAUUUCAAACCCGAUCAAAAAGUUGACAAAAUCGCCCUCAGGCCCACGUGGCCUAAUUCCAAAAAAUUUUGAAGAUAAAGUUUACCCACAACCUCACUAACUCAAAUAUAUAAUUUACUCUCAAUUUCAUGCCCAAAAUCGUGGUCAAAAUCCAUGAAUACCAAUUUUCUAGGUUUUUCCCUCAAAUCCUAAGUUUCUCCUAAUUUCCAUGUUAAAACAUAUACAUAAUCAAUGUAUUUAACUAAUAUAGGUGGGAUGGCUUACCUUUCCAUUGUUGAUGAAAACUCCCUCUUGAAACCCUCCAAAAUCGCCCAAACCAAGAGAAAAUGAAGGAACAUGGGCCAAAUCCCGUUUUUAAAAGAACAGACUACCACUAACCUUUCCGCACAUGCGGUCACUUGAUCGCUUAUGCGGUUGCGCAAGUGAGGCCCCACUACCGCAUUUAUGGUCCUCCGCCAGGCCCCCUUACUCUACUUCUGCACUUCUCCUUCCGCAGGUGCGGUCCCGCUUUUGCGGCAAGAUGACCGCAUCUGCGGUCCCAAUCUUCUCCCUUCUCAAGCGCAUCUACGCUCCUUUGACCGCUUCUGCGGCUCCGCACCUGCGGCCAAGACCUCGCAGGUGACGUUACAUCAGAUGACAACAGGCUUCAGCUCUUCCUCCCAACUCCAAUUCGAUCCAUUAACUACCCAGAAUCCACCCGAGGCCCCCGGGACCUCGUCCAAUCACACCAACCAGUCCCAUAACAUAAUACGGACCUGCUCGAGACCUCAAAUCACAUCAAAUAAUGCUAAAACCAUGAAUCACACUCCUUUUCAAACUCGAUUAACUUUAAAACUUCAAACAUCUUCAUUCGAUGCCGAAACUUAUCAAAUCACAUCCAAUUGACCUCAAAUUUUGCACACAAGUCAUAUUCGACAUUACAGACCUAUUCUAACUUUCUAAAUUGAAAUCCGACCCCGAUAUCAAAAAGUCCAUUCCAGUCAAACUUCUUAAAAACUUUCAAAUUUCUAACUUUAACCAAACGACUCCAAAAUAACCUACGGACCUCUGAAUCCACUUCCUAUCGCGCUCCCAAUACCUGAAUCACCAUACGGAGCUAUUCCCAGACUUAGAUCCCAAACGGACAUCGAUAACAUUGAAAUGCGCAUCAACCCAGAUUUAUGAAAUUCUUCCAAAAAUGUUAAAUUCCACAAUAGGCGUCAAAACACUUCCUGGUCAUCCAAAACCCAAUCCGAACAUACGGCCAAGUCCAAUAUCAUCAUACAAACAUGUUGGAACCUUCAAAUCCUGAUUCCGAUGCCGUUUACUCAUAAAUCAAACCUUACUCAAUUCUUUCAACUUAAAGUUUCUGAAAUGGGAAUUUUCUUUCAAAAUCAAUUCCAAACGUCCCUAAAUUCAAUUCCGACCACGCGUGCAAGUCAUAAAUCCUGAAGCGAAGCUAUUCAUGACCUCAAACUACUGAACAAUGCAUUAGAGCUCAAAACGACCGGUCGGGUCAUUACACUUGGAAAAGAAUCGCAUCACAAAGAAAAACCAAGGGGGAAUUAUUACUCUACUUAAGAAAAAUAAAAUAUAUUUUUCUUCGAAUUUGACCCUCAAGAAGACAGUCGAGAAAAUCCAUCAUCGAGAAAUGUCAAAAAAAAAUUAACCAACAGAAAUGAAAAGAGGUAAAAGAAACUUUCGUGAUUCAUCUAGUCGGGGUCCUAAUCAAAGUCGGGAUCUCCUUUGCAUGCCCGACCCAGUGCACACAUCCAUAAUGAGAGCUUCUUUUCCAUUUUCUUUGGGUACACCCUAGAGUUUUUCAUUUGACUCUCUCCAAGUUUCUCUUUUCAGUCCUCCUUCUCUUUCCAUCUUGAAGAUCAGCCUUUCUUCCCCCACUCUAAGCAUGCGCUACCUUUCCUGAAUGUCUAGAAUUGCUCUGCCCAUAGCCAGGAAGGGUCUUCCUAAAAUCAGACGAACCUCCCCAUUCUCCUCCAUGUUCACCACAAUGAAGUCCACAUGGAACACAAAUUUGUCCACCCAAACCAUCACAUCUUCCACUAUUCCUUCAUGUAUGAUUUUAGUCUAAUCCUCCAGCUGCAAGAACAUAUGUAUCGACCUGAUUUCUCCAAUCUGUCUGUCCAAUUUGUUGAAAAUAGACAAAGACAUACGAUUAAUAGAAGCACCUGAAUCACAUAAGGAUUUUUUAAAUUUAGUACUUCCUAAAGAGCAAGGCAUAGUAAAACUCCCUGGGUCUCCACACUUUUGAGAGAGCUUAUUUUGCAAAAUGGCACAACAUGCCCUGCAAGCUUGACCACCGAUGUCUCUUCCACUUUCCGCUUCUUGGACAAUAUACCCUUCAAAAAUUUUGCAUAACAUGGAAUCGGUGAAAGCACCUCUGUGAAAGGUAUAUUCAUAUGCACCUGCUUGAACACUUCUAGAAAGCACCUAAAUUGUUUGUCCAACUAUUCUCUUAUUUGCUUCUGGGGGAAAUGUAGAGCAGACAUGUAUUUGCUCUCUUUAGUCUCCUUAUUCAUUGAAAUUCCAUAUUCCUUCUUCUUCUUAUCUAUAGUCUUCCCCCUCUUUUUCAAACCAUCAUCUACCAUCACUUCACCUUCUUGAAUGUUGCUAUUUUUCUACUCCUCAACAAUCUCUACUUGUCCUUCAGUCAACUCACUCUUUUGUUUUGCUCAGGGAUCCUUCAAUAUGUGCCCACUCCUCAAAGACACUGCAUUUAUUGUCUAUUUUGGAUAUCUUUUAGUAUCAUUGGAGAGAGUUCUUGGAACCCUCUCAGACAAUAGAUUAGAAAGUUACCCCACCUGUCUUUCCAAGUUUCGAAUGUCUGUGCCUUGUUAUCGAAUAGCUAUGCCACGUUCUCAUAUCACUGAGCCAUGGGUUUCGAGAUUUUCAUCUGUUUUAAUAAUAAAUUCCUUCAUCAGAUCUUCCAUGCUAGACUGAGCAAACUGUGGAGGAUGAUAUUGCUGCCUCUGCUGAUUUUGAAAACCUAGAGCUCCUUAUCCUUGGGUCUAGAGUUGUUUUGUUGCCAUGAGUUCAGGCUACCACUUGGUGAAAUCCAAAAAACAAUCUGGGUGCCUCUGUCCCAUAUAGUUAAAGUUACUACCACCCUGGUAGUUGCCUCUGUCAAAGCUUCCCACAACAUUUACCACUUCAUCUUCAGCUGAGGCGUGACACUCAUGCGUUGGAUGACCCAUUCCACAGAAAUCACAAAUUGAUGAUGGCUCUGGACCUUAGCUAAGGUCAACUUUCUUAUCUCCUUAGCCAUGGCAUCUAGUUGGGCUUGCACUGACAUGCUAGAAUCUACUUGAUGAACCCCAGUUGAUUUUCUUCUAUCAUUACUUUUAGCAUGCUACUGGUUAGCAUCUUCAGAGAGCUCAUCAAGAAUUUCCACAAUCUCCUCAGGAGUCUUCUUCAUUAAAGGACCCCAACUACAGUGUUCGGAGUUCGUUGUGAGGGAGGGGUCAUUCCAUCACAAAAGUCCUAGAGUUGCAUCCACAAUUCAAUCCCAUUAUGCUGGAACUUCCUCAAUAUCUCCUUGAAUCGUUCCCAAGCCUCGAAAACUAUUUCAGUGUCUGUCUGGCCGAAAAUGUAAAUUUUCCUUCUGAAUUUCAUUGUUUUUGUAGUUGAGAAGUAUUUGUCACGAAACUUUUUAGUCAUAUCUUCCCAUCUCCUGAUCGACCCCGUUGGUAAGCUACAAAACCAGUGCUUUACGUCAUCCUUUAGUGAAAAAGGGAAUGCCUUUAAGUAGAUUGCAUCUUUCGACACUCCGUUGUACUAGAAGGUAAUCAUGAUUUUCUCAAAAUCCAUCAAGUGAGUGUUAGGAUCUUCAUUCACCUUCCCUCUAAAGACACAGUUGUUUUGAUAGUUUGAAGCAAGCCUUGCUUUAACUCGAAAUUAUUCGCUGCUACUGGUGGAGUUCUGAUACUAGACUGUCCCUAAUUAUAUACUGGUUUGGCAUAAUCACCCAAUGCUCUACUAGGCAUGGGUACCGCAUUCUUGAACUGGUCUUCAAUCAGGGGUCGAUUUACAUUGAAUCUUCUACCCCCAUUAUCUUGGACGGUUUCCUCAGCAGCUCGAUGGGCUACCUCAACUACUAUCCUUGUUGCAUCUUCUCUAUGCUGGGAUGCAUCUCUUGUAGUUAAAUCAACCCCAUUGUCACUAUUAUUUGUCAUGUGUUCUUGGGUUGAAGGUUUCCCCAAGAAAUUUUUGGUUAGAUCUUUCUCUUUCCUCAAUUGUCGCAUGUAUUUUUCCAACCCCGGUUUGUAGGGUAUUACUUUUUUUGAAGAAGAUCAAGUAAUACACCACGAACUUAACUUGUUGCCUGCACAUGGAAGAGAAACACGUGAAGAAUAACGUAAAAUAUAUUCUUGAAUUAGCACCAAAAACUAUUUGAACACUAUUGAUUGCCAAUCACCGGCAACAACGCCAAAAUUUGACGAGAGCAAAACACAACAUGAUAAUUAUUGCACGCUAGUCAAAGGUAAUAUCGUAAACUAUCGUCUCCACAUGGAUUGGAUUUACGCAAUGUUCGAGUAAUUUAUGGUUUAAUUGCUAUUUAAGAGGAUCAAUAGUUGUGUUAAAUGAUUAUGAACUAUGCUUAACUACUAAAAUAAAGCAAUUGACAAUUAACUGCAAAGAACUAGAGAUUAGUAGAGUUGGUUUCUUAUCAAUGUGAGGAAUAAGGGUUUGACAGGAUAGGUGCACAAUAACUAUUUGGGAUUUAACUCUAGUUUAAUUCACUCUAAUGUUCCAAUGAUUCUCACGAUUUGCUCGAUGAUUAGUUCAAACGUGUAGUAAAGACUCCUCUCUCGAUUAAAUCUUAACUUUAUGGGGUGAACUAAUAUAAGCACUGUGAAAGUAUGCAAGCAUGUGUUAAUGGAUUAGUCUUUAGGAAAACGUCUCUCGACUAUUCUCCUAACUUGAUUUAAUCAACAAUUCAACAACCUCUUUCGAUUGCUUAAGAGAAUCAAUUAAAUAAAAUAAUGCAAAGAUAAUCACCAAAAUAUUCCUCUUUCGAUUAAAUAAACCGGUGAAUAAAAUUUCGACAAUUCAAAACUCCAUAAACGAAUUUAAGCAAGAACUAGAGUUAAAAUCCAAAAAUAUUUAUCAAAAUACCAUAUCAGUCAAACACUAAGGUAAACUACUCUAUAAUCAUGGAGGAAGUCAUCACAAUUAUAAUUAAAGAGUAAGGAAGCAUCAAUUUAACGUUACAAUCCAAACUCCUAUAUUGAAUUGAUGGAAAAAUGAUGAAAUCUUGUGUCUUGUAGCCUCCAAUGCUCUCCUAAAGCUUCCAAGGUCCAAAGUCCCUUCAAAAAUGUCUUUUUGGUGUAUUUAUACCAUAUAGGUGUGGGCCCCAAUGAAUCUGCCCGUUCCAAGCCGAAAUAGGAAAAAUACUCUAAGAAAUUUGUACACACGCGCUGCCCCAUGCGGGGUGCUAGUGGGAAAGUUUAGAGAGAAACUUCUGAUGGACAGCAGCACAAAAGCACUACUGCCCCGCCCCAUGCGGCACGACUGUGCUAUUUUUAUAGAGCAAAUUAUUUUCGUCAAUUUUUUAUAUCCAAACUUGGCUCCCCACCCCCGAACAUGAUCCCAGUUUAAUUCUUUGGGCUUUUACUCAGACUUCAAAGCUCCAUAUUGUUCGAAUUAGUUCCAAAUUAUGUUGGUUUAUGGGAAAUCACUUUCUACAAGGCAUAAAACACAUAAUAAGUGCAAUACACUAAUGUUUAACCUCAAACACAAGUAAAGUGCAGUAAUUGUGCAAACUAGGACUAAAACACGGGAUUCUAGUCAACCAUCAUCCACCAUAUUACGUUUGACAUCAAUAUCUAAAAUGCAUAAAGUAAUGACGAGGGCAUCAUUAUGAGGGAAAGUCAAACCAUCAGCAUCUGACUCGUCGAAGAUGAUACUUUUUUCGAGUUUGUCGUAUCGUCUGGGGGUGAUAGAUCACUUGAGCUUGUGAGUGGUGGUGUACUUCACAUCGUUGAUAGAGGCAUCGCCGCCACCGCUAAUGAUCAUGUUGAUAGUAUGAGAUGGUGAUGAUGGCUUUGGCGGACCUUGGUGUUCACGUUCUCUGGCAAAGUUGUUUCUCCCCUUGUCGCAACAUGUUCACGACUUCUUGCCUGAGGGCGAUGUAAUCUUCUAUUUUGUGCCCUCGUUCUUGGCAAAACACACAGAGUGUGUCAGAUUUUUUGGUGCUCGAGUCGGACCACAUCUUCGGUGGCCACUUUACCUUUAUUCUGAGCUUCUCCAGAGUAUAGACUAUUUCUGUAGGUGAUACAAAAUAAUUGUGAGCAGAUAAUAAGGGGGAAUACCUCUCUCAUUUCGGUGAGUCCAUGUCGUUGGCUUGGAUGGGCUUCCCUCAAAGAGGAUGGAAAGUGGGGCAUGGGCCCUAACAUAUGGCUGGAGUUGUUCUCUGUUGGGUCGUGAGACUGGGUGAUCACUCCUGAUGUUCUCUCUUUGUUCUUUUCUGAACUCAGCUUGUAUCAAAAUGAGCCGAUAGGUUGUUCCAUUAAGUUCAUCCUCAUCUACUCGGAUUUCAGCAUAAUAAACAUUAUGGAUUUCGUCCCAAGUGGUUGGGGGAUAUUUCAUCAAUCGGCUCAACAAUUUUCUAGUUGCUCUCGAACCAUCUCUAUUCAACCCGUUCUGAAAGGUUGCGACUACCAUUCUCUCGGAUAAGUUCUGUAGAGUCAUCCUUACCCUGUUGAAAUUGGGUGAGGAAGUCCCUUAAUCCUUCUCCCAAGGACUGCUUGAUGGCAAAUAUAUUGUUUACUCUUGUUUCGGCCUUCUUGGCUCUGGCAUGUGCCGUUACAAACUUAUUGACCAUUUCCUCAAAAAUUUCUAUAGAGCGAACUGGUAGUUGUGAGUACCAUGUUAAUGCCCCUCAUAUAGGGGUUUUACCAAAUUUCUUCAGCAAAAUAGAGGACUGAGGUCGUUACCUUUCACAGCGGUAACAUAAUGGGUCACAUGAUCUUCGGGGUCAGUCGUUCCAUCAUAUAUCCUGAGGUAGGGAGGCAUUUUGAAGGUCUUUGGUAUGGCAUGCGGGGUUGCUUCAUCAUUGUACGGCUGCUCUACGAACCUGCCUGCAUUCCUUUUUGGCAAUAGCUUAGGGGUGCCUGGUAUCUUAUCGACUUGUUCUUGGGGUUCUUUCAUUUGAUCUCUGAGUGCUUUAUUUCCAUUCUCCAUUUCUUCCAUCCUCUUUAGAACAUCAUUGAGGGUGCUAUCACCUGCAUUGUUAGUAACAUUAUGAGUUAUACCUGGUACCGGAGAGUUUGGUCGGUUGCUCUGUUCAUCUGCUCAUUGUAUGGUGCAAGCUCUUGCGGUUUCUAUUGUCGUGCUUGGAGCGGGCUUGUUGAGCAUGCUUGCUAGCAUAUCGAUCAACCAUGCUUCAAGGAGCUUUUUUCAUAAAUGGUGGCGUCCCUUCUUCUAUGGAUAUGGAAGCUUAUUUUCUAUUAGGUUUUGUUAUGCUACAAUAAGGAGAAGGCGACCUCUCGCACCUAGGGGAGGCAGUGGGUUUCACAACUCCCGUUGAUAGCAUUCAUGAGGUUGCUAGGGAGAUCACCCGUUACUUUUGUCCUCUCUCCUUGAUUACCUAUCAUGUAGGUUUUUGUACGUGCAAAGAAAGAACUUGGGGUUUGUGAGGUUAGCGAGUCAUGUUAGUUGCAGAUCUAAAGGACACUAAAAUUUAACCAAGAAAUCCCCACAGACGACGCCAAAUUGUUUGACCAAAAAUAUAGAUCUUGGUUCAACUAAUUAAAUUUAUGCAAAUAAGGGUUAACCUUGGUUAAUAAUAAUGUCUUAAAGACGAAGUUCUUGGUAUUAUGACAAGUAGCACGUAGAUCUAUUCCGAAGGUUAUGAUGAUGCACAAUAAUGACAAUAUUCAAGAACCCAAACAGAAGUAAUGUAGCAUUAAAUAGUGAUGAAUAACAAUAAAUGAUAUUUAUGUAAAUAAAUGCGAAUGAGUCACCCGAGAAAGGACGAAAUCGUGGAUGUUCUUUCUGACAAUGAUGAAUGAUGGAUAAGCCUUUGAACAUCCAAGUUAUUCUCGGAUCUAGUAGGAAAGUGUGGACAAGAAUCUUAGUAAAAAGGUUGUUUUUGUAUGCUUGUAAUAAGACCAUCUUCUCUCUAUAAAGUCAAAGUGUUCUUUACAAAAAUGAAUGUUCCCUUCUAUUAUUUUGUCUCUUUCUAUUUAUAGGGAACAUGUUCCUAGAAAAUGAUAGCAUCAAGAACAAGGAUAUAGUUAAGGACAAUGAUNN
rnacentral:lncRNA from 1 species